GGGUGGUAAAUUUCAUCUAAAGCUAAAUAUUGGCCGGAGACCGAUAGCGCACAAGUAGAGUGAUCGAAAGGUUAAAAGCACCUUGAAAAGGGAGUUAAACAGCACGUGAAAUUGUUGAAAGGGAAGCGCUUGCGGCCAGACUCGGGGGCGGGGUUCAGCGGGCGCUCGUCGCCCGUGCACUCCCCGUCUCCCGGGCCAGCAUCAGUUUCGACGGCCGGUCAAAGGCCCCCGGAAUGUGUCGUCUCUCGGGACGUCUUAUAGCCGGGGGUGCAAUGCGGCCCGCCGGGACUGAGGAACGCGCUUCGGCCCGGAUGCUGGCGUAAUGGCCGUAAGCGGC
rnacentral:rRNA from 1 species